CACGAAAGUUUAAAGACUGGGAUAUGCCUGGAAAUGGAGCCCUUUCAAACAAAGAAAAUACAUUUAACAUUUGGUAAAGGAAGGGCUCCAGCCAUGCUUCCUAACGCUGACUGUGGAGGAACACUCUGUGGAUGCAUUUCCUGUCUGACGCACCGCAGAGAAUGGAGGAGAAGAAGUCCCUGAGAACAGUGGUAUCCAGAGAAAG